rnacentral:rRNA from 1 species
UACGUAGGGCGCAAGCGUUGUCCGGAAUUAUUGGGCGUAAAGAGCUCGUAGGCGGUCUGUUGCGUCCGCUGUGAAAACUCGGGGCUUAACCCCGAGCCUGCAGUGGAUACGGGCAGACUAGAGGUAGGUAGGGGAGAAUGGAAUUCCCGGUGUAGCGGUGAAAUGCGUAGAUAUCCGGAGGAACACCAGUGGCGAAGGCGACUUUCUGGCCUGUUCUUGACGCUGAGGCGCGAAAGCUAGGGGAGCAAACGGG